CUCUCCGCUCAUAGUGAUGGUCUGAGGAAGCUGGUGGGAAUCCAGCACGGUCGCGCCACUGUGUACGUGCCUCUCCGCGAGAGCGGGCACGAAGUCAGACACCUGGCCAUCGCGACGCUCCAUUG
rnacentral:ncRNA from 1 species